GUAAUGUAGAUUAAAAUGUCAUCCAACUAUAAAUUCCCCCAAAAUGCAUGGACCAAGAUCCUACCCAAGAUUGAGACUUGAGGAAGGACUGACUGUAUCCUUUAAAGGCACAAACUCAUUUUUUCUUCUCUUUGGUACCCUGUGCCACACUGUAAAGAAGCCCAGGCUAUCUUGCUGGAGGGAGAGUCCAUAUGAAGAAAGCCCCUGACAUAUGAAAGACCACAUGGAAAGGGAGACUACAUGAAGCCAACAGUCAGCACCUUAGUUCGGGACAUAAAAAGCCAUUUCAGACCUUGUAGUCUAAAUCAGGCGUUCGCUGUAUGAGUGAGCCUAGGUGACACUAGAGCAGAACCU
rnacentral:lncRNA from 1 species